UACGGAGGGUGCAAGCGUUAUCCGGAUUUACUGGGUUUAAAGGGUGCGUAGGCGGGCAGGUAAGUCAGUGGUGAAAUCCCCGAGCUCAACUUGGGAACUGCCGUUGAUACUAUCUGUCUUGAAUACCGUGGAGGUGAGCGGAAUAUGUCAUGUAGCGGUGAAAUGCUUAGAUAUGACAUAGAACACCGAUUGCGAAGGCAGCUCACUACGCGGUCAUUGACGCUGAGGCACGAAAGCGUGGGGAUCAAACAGG
rnacentral:rRNA from 1 species